UUGUGAAAGUUAGACUAAAUAUAGCACUGGUUUCUGUUCCUCAAACGUUCUAGAAGGGAGAUACCCACACUUCUGCAUAUAUUUGGCACGUAUUAUAACGCCUGGGAUGAUCACAUGACAGGAAGUGAUGUCAUCAGGGGUGAGAUGAUGCAUCAGCUGUCCUUCAGAGGAAGAAGAGACGGAGAGACAUGCAGGGAGUCAUGGCUUCAGACGUGAUGUGCUUGUGUGUUUUUCUGCUCUGCUCUGGACUUCAGUACACAACAGAUAUUGUGUUCCUGUGGCUCAGUGGUAGAGCAUUGCAUUAGCAGCGCAAAAGGUUGUGGGUUCGAUUCCCAGGGAACACAUGUUAGGUAAAAAAA
ensembl:lncRNA